rnacentral:rRNA from 1 species
UACAGAGGUCUCAAGCGUUGUUCGGAUUCAUUGGGCGUAAAGGGUGUGUAGGCGGUUAUCCAAGUCGGGUGUGAAAGCCUUGAGCUCAACUCAAGAAAUGCACUCGGUACUGGGUGACUAGAGGACCGGAGAGGAUAGUGGAAUUCCCAGUGUAGUGGUGAAAUACGUAGAGAUUGGGAAGAACACCAGUGGCGAAGGCGGCUAUCUGGACGGUUUCUGACGCUAAGACGCGAAAGCGUGGGGAGCAAACAGG